GACUUCGUUAAAAAAAAAAAAAAAAAGCUAAAACUUUUGUUCACCAGCUGCUCAGCUUUUCAGUCUGGGUUUGAGCUGGAACCUGCUGCAAGCGUUUGACGGCAUUCACGCGCUUUUGAAACUUUCCAUGAACGGACUUGGAUCUAAUAUCCCUGAAAACAAAGAAAGAACAGUGCAAUUUGAACACAGUAGCCUCUGCCCCAUGCCUGAGGGAGACAGCACAGCUUUGGGAACUAUGAUUGAGUGACAGCCCUACGUAUGAAGUUGGGAAUGUGACUAGUCAAUAAUGCCUGUGAGGACCAACUGGAAGAGAAGAAAUCAUUUAUUCUUUACCAUCAAUAUGUGACUGUGUCUUGAAAUGAAUAUCCUGGAAUCUGAUUCAGACUUGAUUUUGGAAACCCCUGUCCCCCCCCCUCCUCUGGAGCCUUAGGCAUGUGGUCAAAGAAUAUGAGUAAGGAACAGGGAACCAAGUCCCCUAAUUUAUCUUUAAUUUCUGUUAUUUUCUUACUGAACUCCCCUUCUCCUAUAUUAACUCUCCCUUCCAUGGAAUAGGUGAUGUGAAAUAGGUCCUACAUCCAUGUUAAAAGUUAAAGAGAUAAUGUUAGUAUUUUAAACAAAAUAAAAGAACAGCAAUAGAAGAGAUAAUAGCAUUUCACUUCACGACAGAAGAGAUAAUAACACUUUAGUGCUUUAGGCCUGCCUAAUUAGUGGUGCUUCUCCUGAGACAUUAAUUUUGGUGUCAGUGGAGGUUAAGGGAAAGGAGGUUGCAGCUAAAGUGCCAGUGAUAUUCUGAGGGUUCUGGACACUGAAACCUCAAGUUUAUAUAUACCGAGGGCUGGUGGCCAAUUUCACCAACGUGUAAACUGAUAAACAGAGAGAUCUGAUUGCAAAUAAAAUGCAUUGCGUAUUUGGCUUAAUGACCAUACCCUAGAAUGAGCGACUAAGAAUAGAGAGAAUUCCGGUCGCCGCAGCCCAAGACGGACGCGGACCCAUCUAGCAGGAAACAGCGGCGCGCCGGCCUCUCCUCCGCGACCGCGUGCGGACGGCUUGUCCCGGCCAACUACCACAACUGCACGAAUCGACACGGCCCAGAGACGUACCUGGCGCACAAAAGUUCUCAUGCUCCGCCGUGCCACGGGAUCUGCGCACCUUCGCCCACAUCUUGGCGGCUGUUGAGUGCUCCUACAGCCCCUUCCCCGGCCAUAGGCGUGGUCCCCAGACACCUCAGGGAUCACUUCCACCUGGCGCACUGCCUUCUGGGGGAAGCCCCAGGCCGGAAGUCUGACUACGAGGCCCACGCUCCCCUGCAGGGCCUCUUGCCCCCUCCGACACCUUCAGCCAAUUGCUGAAGUUGCAACCCCUGGGUCUGGCCGAUAGCAGCCCCAGUCCUGCCAACCCGUCUCCCGCCACUCCUCGGCCCACAGCAUCUUCCCAGAGCCCCAAGCUGUUGCUGUCCUCGCUGACGCCCUCUUUCCACUCGGACAAAGGCAUGUAGAGCCCCCACCCCACCCCACCCCCCGGCCAAGGGAACCACAGGUACUGCCAUCUGUGCAACAUCGAGUUCGUCAAGUUCACAGGUACUUCUGUGUGUUCACCUUCAUCGUCCCCAAGAAGUGUUGCUGUUCCUCGAAGGCCAGUGAAUAUGUGAAGUGAGUCACCCAACACAGAAUGGACUGGGGGCCACUUUCCAUGCCCCCCCCCAACUUCUCUAUCCAGGAACAAAGGCCAGCUUUCCCACCUGCCGUGCUGUCCAUUGCCACCCCCGCCUGGACCCUUGGCACUUAAAGUUCAGUUUGAGGAGCACAGCCUCAAUAGCCUGGAGUUGAAGGAGCACCUAAAUUCCAUUAGAAUUACUUCGGAGAGUCUCCUCUGUUUAUCUGAAACAUUCAUCGUAUUUAUUUAUUUUUUAUUUUUGGAGAGAGAGUGUGUGAGUCUGGAGAGGGAAAGCGAGAUGGAAUCUUAAGCGGGCUCCAUGCUCAGCCCAGAGCCCAGAGAUCAUAACCGGAGCUGCAAUGGGUUCAUUAAAAUAACACUUUCCUUAAGUAAUAAGAAUAAUAAAGAGUUCCAGAAUGUAGAUAUCUAUGCACUUUGAUAUUCUUUUGGUAAAAAAGAAAUGUACCCUUGGAUGGGAAAGUUUCCAAGGAAGGCUUUUCACCAAAAAGAUCAGACUGUGGAAAGAACCACAGACUUGUGUGAGGCAGGAAGAGCAAGAAGAAAAGAGAAGGAAAGCAUUUUAAACGUUACUGAUACUUCAUAGCAAUAAGUUAUUUUUAUAUAGUGUAGAUCAGAAUAUUCUUUACAGUAACACAAAUAUUUUGUGUACUUUUAAAAGGCUUCAUGCAUACACUGGUAAAAAAACAAAAGAGAAAAAAAUGCUGUCAUUUUGAGGAAUUAUGAUGAUGAUUGUUAAUAUUUAUGUGCCAAAGCAAUAACAACAAAUGUUAUAUGGAAGAUAACAUUGAAUUGUAAAAAUUUCAUGAAAUAUUAUUGUGCUUUUCAUAUGGACAAGUAAACCUAGGCUUAAAUGAUUAAAUCACAUGUCUAAAGUCCUGUAGCUGAAAUGUGAUACAUGCAAAAUGCAAAACCAAAUUAGUCUUGUUUUAGAGUCUGUGAUCUUAACCACUCUGUUUUGUGAUACUUAGAGGAAAACUUUUCCCAAUUUCUGGAGUUAAAGAAGUGGAAAAUUAUCCAGACUAGUGGCAAUGCAAACCAUCUGAGAAGGGAGAGUCAGGGACAGGGAGUGUGGCUUUCUGAGAGACAGCAUUUCAUCACAGCUGGUAUUCUUGGGAACCCUAGUAGAGACUCUGUGAAAAAGAUUUAACAUGAAAAAGAUUUUGUUGAUACUUCUGUGGAGGGUUGAUUAGAAAAAGAAAGAUAAGUCAGAAGACUAUUUUAAUAAUUAAAAUGAAAUAAAGAUAUGUGGACUUCA